rnacentral:pre_miRNA from 1 species
AAAGUACUCCCUCCGUCCCAAAAUUCUUGUCUUAGAUUUGUCUAGAUACGGAUGUAUCAAGUCACAUUUUAGUAUUAGAUACAUCCGUAUCUAGACAAAUCUAAGA